rnacentral:rRNA from 2 species
AGAGCUUGCUCUUAUGAAGUUAGCGGCGGACGGGUGAGUAACACGUGGGUAACCUGCCCAUAAGACUGGGAUAACUCCGGGAAACCGGGGCUAAUACCGGAUAACAUUUUGAACCGCAUGGUUCGAAAUUGAAAGGCGGCUUCGGCUGUCACUUAUGGAUGGACCCGCGUCGCAUUAGCUAGUUGGUGAGGUAACGGCUCACCAAGGCAACGAUGCGUAGCCGACCUGAGAGGGUGAUCGGCCACACUGGGACUGAGACACGGCCCAGACUCCUACGGGAGGCAGCAGUAGGGAAUCUUCCGCAAUGGACGAAAGUCUGACGGAGCAACGCCGCGUGAGUGAUGAAGGCUUUCGGGUCGUAAAACUCUGUUGUUAGGGAAGAACAAGUGCUAGUUGAAUAAGCUGGCACCUUGACGGUACCUAACCAGAAAGCCACGGCUAACUACGUGCCAGCAGCCGCGGUAAUACGUAGGUGGCAAGCGUUAUCCGGAAUUAUUGGGCGUAAAGCGCGCGCAGGUGGUUUCUUAAGUCUGAUGUGAAAGCCCACGGCUCAACCGUGGAGGGUCAUUGGAAACUGGGAGACUUGAGUGCAGAAGAGGAAAGUGGAAUUCCAUGUGUAGCGGUGAAAUGCGUAGAGAUAUGGAGGAACMCCAGUGGCGAAAGC